UACGUAGGGGGCAAGCGUUGUCCGGAAUCAUUGGGCGUAAAGAGCGUGUAGGCGGCCCGGUAAGUCCGCUGUGAAAGUCCAGGGCUCAACCCUGGGAUGCCGGUGGAUCUCGGUCGGCUGAGUCCGGAAGAGGAGUGUGGAAUUCCUGGUGUAGCGGUGAAAUGCGCAGAUAUCAGGAGGAACACCGGUGGCGAAGGCGGUUCUCUGGGCAUGUCCUGACGCUGAGGAGCGAAAGUGUGGGGAGCGAACAGG
rnacentral:rRNA from 1 species